rnacentral:snRNA from 1 species
AAGCUCACUUCAGCAGCACAUAUACUAAAACUGGAACAAUUAAGAGAAUAUUACCAUGGACCCUGCCCAAAGAUGACAUACAAAUUCCUGAAGUGUUCCAUAAUUUU